GGGUCUGUAGCUCAGUCGGUUAGAGCACCGUCUUGAUAAGGCGGGGGCCUUCCUUUAUUCACACCUCCCA
rnacentral:tRNA from 1 species